rnacentral:lncRNA from 1 species
AUCACGUUGGUCAAGGACGUGAUUCCGCGACGCCGCGCCCCUGAGCGGGCGGCGGCAACGGCCCGCGGAGUCCCUUUUCCAGGCAAACCCGCCACCGCGUGGACCCGAGCGGAACCGCACCGCCGGCCGGGAACGCCCACGCCGGGAGCCUGUCACCGCGACCGCGGACCCGCGAGCCAGACCCCAAAGGGGAAAGCAGGCGCCUUAGACGGCUACCUGUCUCCCUCUGAGCAGCUGAGGGGCCCACGCAGUGGCGGUCAGGACAGAGCCCGGGGAGUCCUGAGCAACCAUGCCCCCCCACCCCCGCCCCCACGCCCAGAGGAAGCUGUUCUCCGAGGAACCUUGACCUCCAGGCCAGAUGGAGACCGCAGCGAGGUGCACCAGUGCACCAGUGCUGAAGCCUUCACAGACGGCAACAGAAACCUGGAGACGCUUCUCCCCCCACAUGCACUCCCCUUAGGCUUGGGGGGAGGGAGAUUGUUCUUUUAAUUUUCAACAUUAUUGUUUUUUAAUUUCAAACCUACAAAAACAUUAAAAGAAUAAAGCAAAGAAACCAGUAUGUCUUGCGCUUAAA